rnacentral:rRNA from 1 species
AUUGAACGCUGGCGGCAGGCCUAACACAUGCAAGUCGAACGGUAACAGGAAGAAGCUUGCUUCUUUGCUGACGAGUGGCGGACGGGUGAGUAAUGUCUGGGAAACUGCCUGAUGGAGGGGGAUAACUACUGGAAACGGUAGCUAAUACCGCAUAACGUCGCAAGACCAAAGAGGGGGACCUUCGGGCCUCUUGCCAUCGGAUGUGCCCAGAUGGGAUUAGCUAGUAGGUGGGGUAACGGCUCACCUAGGCGACGAUCCCUAGCUGGUCUGAGAGGAUGACCAGCCACACUGGAACUGAGGCACGGUCCAGACUCCUACGGGAGGCAGCAGUGGGGAAUAUUGCACAAUGGGCGCAAGCCUGAUGCAGCCAUGCCGCGUGUAUGAAGAAGGCCUUCGGGUUGUAAAGUACUUUCAGCGGGGAGGAAGGGAGUAAAGUUAAUACCUUUGCUCAUUGACGUUACCCGCAGAAGAAGCACCGGCUAACUCCGUG